rnacentral:rRNA from 1 species
UACGAAGGGGGGCUAGCGUUGCUCGGAAUGACUGGGCGUAAAGGGCGCGUAGGCGGAUGGCACAGUCAGAUGUGAAAUUCCCGGGCUUAACCUGGGGGCUGCAUUUGAUACGUGUUGUCUAGAGUGAGGAAGAGGGGUUGUGGAAUUCCCCAGUGUAGAGGUGAAAUUCGUAGAUAUUGGGAAGAACACCGGUGGCGAAGGCGGCAACCCUGGUCCUUGACUGACGCUGAGGCGCGAAAGCGUGGGGAGCAAACAGG